AACGUAGGGGGCGAGCGUUAUCCGGAAUCACUGGGCGUAAAGGGUAUCUAGGCGGUGUAUUAAGUCCUGCGUGAAAGCUCCCGGCUCAACUGGGAGAGCGCGUGGGAGACUGGUGCGCUAGAGACUCGGAGAGGGGUGUGGAAUUCCCGGUGGAGUGGUGAAAUGCGUUGAGAUCGGGAGGAACACCAGUGGCGAAGGCGGCACCCUGGCCGAGUUCUGACGCUGAAGUGCGACAGCGUGGGGAGCAAACGGG
rnacentral:rRNA from 1 species